CAAAUUUUAAUUUAAAUAAAAAUGUUUCUUUUACAUAGAAACUUUAAAAUAGUAGGCGUUUUAAAUUUGA
rnacentral:tRNA from 1 species